rnacentral:rRNA from 2 species
UGGGGAAUAUUGGGCAAUGGGCGAAAGCCUGACCCAGCAACGCCGCGUGAAGGAAGAAGGUUUUCGGAUCGUAAACUUCUAUCCUUGGUGAAGAUAAUGACGGUAGCCAAGAAGGAAGCCCCGGCUAACUACGUGCCAGCAGCCGCGGUAAUACGUAGGGGGCAAGCGUUGUCCGGAAUGAUUGGGCGUAAAGGGCGCGUAGGCGGCCUGGUAAGUCUGGAGUGAAAGUCCUGCUUUUAAGGUGGGAAUUGCUUUGGAUACUGUCGGGCUUGAGUGCAGGAGAGGUAAGUGGAAUUCCCGGUGUAGCGGUGAAAUGCGUAGAGAUCGGGAGGAACACCAGUGGCGAAGGCGACUUACUGGACUGUAACUGACGCUGAGGCGCGAAAGUGUGGGGAGCAAACA